rnacentral:rRNA from 1 species
AGGAUAAACGCUGGCGGCGUGCCUAACACAUGCAAGUCGAACGUCCUACGCAAGUAGGGAGUGGCGGACGGGUGAGUAACACGUGGGCAAUCUACCUUUCGGUGAGGAAUACCGGCGAGAAAUCGCCGACAAUACCGCAUACGCUUCGCAAGAAGCAAAGUCGCAAGACGCCGGAGGAGGAGCCUGCGCCCGAUUAGCUCGUUGGUGGAGUAAUGGUCUACCAAGGCGACGAUCGGUAGCUGGUCUGAGAGGAUGAUCAGCCACACUGGGAUUGAGAACGGCCCAGACUCCUACGGGGGCAGCAGUGAGGAAUUUUCGUCAAUGGGGGAAACCCUGAACGAGCAACGCCGCGUGCAGGAUGAAGGCCUUCGGGUCGUAAACUGCUUUUCUCUGGGACGAGCAAGGACGGUACCAGAGGAAGAAGCCCCGGCUAACGUACGUGCCAGCAGCCGC